UAUAUUUAAGUGUAUUAUGCACUAAAAUUUUUGAAAUUUUAAGAAAUAAAUUUAUAUUUAUUAAAUAUAA
rnacentral:tRNA from 1 species